AUUGAACGCUGGCGGCAGGCCUAACACAUGCAAGUCGAACGAGUGGCGGACGGGUGAGAAAUGUCUGGGAAACUGCCUGAUGGAGGGGGAUAACUACUGGAAAAGGUAGCUAAUACCGCAUACCAUCGGAUGUUCCCAGAUGGGAUUAGCUAGUAGGUGGGGUAAAGGCUAACAUAGGCGACGAUCCCUAGCUGGUCUGAGAGGCUGACCAGCCACACUGGAACGGAGACACGGCCCAAACUCCUCCGGGGGGCAGCAGUGGGGAAUAUUGCACAAUGGGCGCAAGCCGGAUGCGGCCAUGCCGCGUGUAUGAAGAAGGCCUUCGGGUUGUAAGGUACUUUCAUCGGGGAGGCGUUACCCGCAGAAGAAGCACCGACUAACUCCGUGCCAGCAGCCGCGGUAAUUC
rnacentral:rRNA from 1 species